rnacentral:rRNA from 1 species
GACGAACGCUGGCGGCGUGCCUCAUACAUGCAAGUCGAGCGGCCUGACUUCGGUCGGGCAGCGGCGGACGGGUGAGUAACACGUGGGUAACCUGCCCUAAAGACCGGGAUAACAUCCUGAAAGGGAUGCUAAUACCGGGUAAGGUCUCCCUGUCGCAUGACAGAGAGAAGAGAGGAGCAAUCCGCUUUAGGAUGGGCCCGCGUCCCAUUAGCUAGUUGGUAGAGUAACGGCCUACCAAGGCGACGAUGGGUAGCCGACCUGAGAGGGUGACCGGCCACACUGGGACUGAGACACGGCCCAGACUCCUACGGGAGGCAGCAGUCGGGAAUAUUGGGCAAUGGGGGAAACCCUGACCCAGCAACGCCGCGUGAGUGAAGAAGGCCUUCGGUUGUAAAGCUCUGUCCUUGGGACGAAGAAUGACGGUACCCAAGAAGAAAGACCACGGCUAACUACGUG